rnacentral:rRNA from 1 species
AUUGAACGCUGGCGGCAUGCCUUACACAUGCAAGUCGAACGGCAGCACGGGAGCAAUCCUGGUGGCGAGUGGCGAACGGGUGAGUAAUGUAUCGGAACGUGCCCAGUCGUGGGGGAUAACGUAGCGAAAGCUACGCUAAUACCGCAUACGAUCUAUGGAUGAAAGCGGGGGAUCGCAAGACCUCGCGCGAUUGGAGCGGCCGAUAUCGGAGUAGGUAGUUGGUGGGGUAAAGGCUCACCAAGCCGACGAUCUGUAGCUGGUCUGAGAGGACGACCAGCCACACUGGGACUGAGACACGGCCCAGACUCCUACGGGAGGCAGCAGUGGGGAAUUUUGGACAAUGGGCGCAAGCCUGAUCCAGCAAUGCCGCGUGCAGGGUGAAGGCCUUCGGGUUGUAAACUGCUUUUGUACGGAACGAAACGGCGAGCUCUAAUACAGUUUGCUAAUGACGGUACCGUAAGAAUAAGCACCGGCUAACUACGUGCCAGCCGCCGCGGUAA